GAUGAACGCUGGCGGCGUGCCUAAUACAUGCAAGUCGAGCGAACAGACGAGGAGCUUGCUCCUCUGACGUUAGCGGCGGACGGGUGAGUAACACGUGGAUAACCUACCUAUAAGACUGGGAUAACUUCGGGAAACCGGAGCUAAUACCGGAUAAUAUAUUGAACCGCAUGGUUCAAUAGUGAAAGACGGUUUUGCUGUCACUUAUAGAUGGAUCCGCGUCGCAUUAGCUAGUUGGUAAGGUAACGGCUUACCAAGGCGACGAUGCGUAGCCGACCUGAGAGGGUGAUCGGCCACACUGGAACUGAGACACGGUCCAGACUCCUACGGGAGGCAGCAGUAGGGAAUCUUCCGCAAUGGGCGAAAGCCUGACGGAGCAACGCUGCGUGAGUGAUGAAGGUCUUCGGAUCGUAAAACUCUGUUAUUAGGGAAGAACAAAUGUGUAAGUAACUAUGCACGUCUUGACGGUACCUAAUCAGAAAGCCACGGCUAACUACGUG
rnacentral:rRNA from 1 species